UGCGGAGUUUAUGUAAGCAAACCCUCCGCGGCUCUUGCCAGGAGCUGAGCAGAGGGGAGCUGGGGAGCACCAGCCCGUGCCCGGCUCCCGCUGGGAUGGAUGGGGCUCAGCGCUGGCUCCGGUCGGACUCGUUCUGCACUCCCUCCCUCCGCUCCCACAGCCUCAAGCAAAGCCUCUUCUCUCCUGCCCACCGCCAUCGGCUACGAGGCUGCAGCAAGGCCCCGUUUCCAACAUGUCACAUGAAAUGAACCAGGAAAACUCCUCACAAAACCUUCUGAUCACUGGCUUCCAGAGGAAAAGUCCCUCCUGGCCAGAAGGAGAGGAGGACAAGUGAGACAGUGAAAAGUGACAUUCUCUGUGGACCUGCUCCAAAGCCUGAUCGCGUCGAUGAAAGGACUCCCAUUGAAUUCAGUGUGACUUGGAGUGGUUCCUAAAAAUGGGAACAAAGCAGCAAACUUCAUAAAUCUUCUGAUGUGGUCCUUAAAGUGAGAAUUAAGACCCCAUGGGGCAAAGGUUUGUGAUUAGAAAGACAAUUUGGCCUCUCAGUCUUCCUGAGCUGAGCCAUUCAGGUCUCACUGAAGAUUCAUUCUUUUAGAAAUAUCAUAUGCCAGUCAGCACGGGGGAUCGCUGGUCUGUUAAAUGCUACAUUAUGCCUUUUACUUUUCAUUAUGGUAGGAGAUUUGAUUAAGGCAGUCAAUGACCCUGUGCUUAGAAGCAGAAGAGGGGAAAAAAGAAGGGAAAAAGCUAAUGGAGCCAUAGAGCUAAAAUAUGUUGCUGAGAAGUGAAACAAUUGAAGGUGUGGAGGAGAGAGGAAUUAUCACAGCACUGUUGGCACUGAAGUGGUGUUGGGAGGCUUUUACCUGCCAUAAAGCAUAUGCUGGCACUAUUUCAUCCUCCACCUUGGCCGUAAUGCAGACCCUGUUUGUGUAGGAGGCUUUCCCAGCAUGCCCACACUCCAGAAUCCCAGGCAAUGCUCACCAGCAACUGCUGCUCCCAGCAGCCCAGUGCCUGGUUAUGGCUACACCCCUCCCAGAGAGGUUUUAAAGGUGCUUUAGAAAAUAAAAACAGUUGUACUUCUAUCUCCCUUUGUGCCAUUGACAGAAAACCACUUUUAUUUCCUUUCCUCCUCUCCCUUUAGACCUCCUGCAUGUUCCCCAAAACUUGGUGCUUCACUUGUUGUGUCGGAGCCCAUUGGGAAGGAAGGACUGCUCUCUGCACGACUCUCUGUCACAACUCUUUCAGCAUUUUGACUCAAGGCACUUUGGCUUUAUCUCUCCCUGGGUGCACUGGAGGUGCCUGUCUCCUGAGGCUCAUGACGUGAACCUUCGUGCUGACGUGUGGAGCCUCUUCUCCAAGCUUCUCUGUAUAAGUCAUUCAACGUUUUAAUUUGAUUAGGAGGUUAAUUUGCAUGGUGCUGUGCGUAUUCUUUUACUGGAAUAUAUAUACUAUGAAAUGUAUGAUGUAAGUUAAUCCAAAGCUAAAGAGGCCAAUAAAAGCCAGUUCCUUAAGGAGGAAGAAAAGAGAGCAGAGCUCAAUGGAAGAAAAGCUUGGUCUCAGUCCAGAGUCCUGACUCAUUGUUAGCCUCCAGAGCGUCCUGACUAGCAUCAACGUGUCCUGGAAGCAAUGUGAUUUUCCUACUGUAUUAAUGAAAAAAUAAUAAAAUGUAAUGCUAAAACAAUAGGACAUACCAGAAAAAUUUCCACCGAGGAAUGGGGCUCUGUAAUAAGCUCAUGUCAGAAUGAUUCCCAUCCUGCUUGCAGAAUCUGAGCAUAUGGAGGAGUGACACGACUUUGUGCAGGCUGUGGAGAGUGGAGCAGCUCCUAUAGGUGUGUAGAGUGUUUCUUCAGUCUACACCAAGUGCUUCAGAAAGCUGGGAAACAGAAUAUGAAAUAUAUUUGUAUUAAUGGGAGCCACCCAGUCAAGAGAGAGCACUAGGAAUGUGCUGUAUAGCUGCAGAAAAGUAUUAAGAACUCAUGAAAAUCUGAAAAAUGCCUCAAUGGCUUUCUACCCGUGUGUCUCUAUAACUAUAAUCUCAAAAAUAUAUAUAAUUUGUAAGUGAUGGCAUCCUGGAAGCUUGACUAGUGUGAGCUCACAGUUAUCUUUUGCUUGAUCCUGUGAAAUAAAUUAUAAGCAGCAAAUCCCAACUGCAGAUAAAUUCUUCUCCAUCUGUUUUCCUACAAGAGAAAAAAAUGUAGAACUGCUUUCAUGCAACAAUUGCACAAGCAAGUCAUAAGCUUAGAGACCAAGGAGAAGAAAGCUAGAAUGCUUUCUGGUUUAAUGCCAAAGAUUUUUAAGAUAAAAAUUCUCUGAAAGUAACUACAAUAAGCCAAUGACUGUUGAGCUUAAACAAACCUCAAGUUACAUUCAAUUUCACUUAAAUAUUCCUUAGGAGAAAAAGAAAACAUAAAUGCACAAAUCAAAAUUUUUAUGUCUUAAUUGUCAUCUUUUUCCCACAAUGCGUUUUAAACUGAAAUGAGGUCAUUUGGGUUUUAGUAACCAGUCCAAGUACAGUGCAAAAUAUAUUUCAAGGUAGAACAAGAGUUCACAUCCCAAAAACAAAGGAGUUAGCAAAAAUAUGAAACUGCAUGAGACUGAAUGCACUCAAUGCCUAGGGAAGUAUAGUUUUACCUGUCAGAAACAAAAGAGUUGGUCUGCAUCCAUUCCAUAGACAUAAAAUAAACUCAGCAAGGGCUGCACAACAGCUAAAGCCUGAGAAAAUACCAGCUAAACUUAGCAGAAUAGUUCCUAAAUCAGAGUUUUUCAGGGUUUUUUUCCAAGAACAUUUUGCUACAUUUAAAAAUAAAGCAGGUACAAUCCUGUGUGAACCAAUAAUAUGCACAGUAAAAGUGACAAAAGAUGCUUAUACAAUUAUAAUUACAACUUGCAGGCCACUUAAAUGCCUUGCAUGGACAGUCCAUAAAGAGAAUAUGACCAAGCACUAUGAAUGAGAGCCUGAAUAAACAGUAAAGAUGUAGAAGUAAAGCUAAUGAAAAAUAAACAUUCUUGUUAGGAAGAGAGAAUGACAGUAAGAAUUAAAGUGAUCCAGAGUUUCAGGAAUACAAGUGAGUGAACACGUACUGAAGACUUGGUGUACGAGUAUCAGGAAAGGAUCUAGAAAAACAAAAAAAUUAAAUGUUUGGUAGUUACAUCUGUCUCUCUUUAAUCACAGCAUGCUUGUUUAGGACUUAGGCAGUGGAGGUUUUUUUUCCACUUUCAUAUUUGUUGUGUUUUUUCCAGUCUCUAUAAAAUUUCUAUUAGAAGAGCUCUGACCCUACUCGAAAUCCAAACCCCCAAAAUGCAUGAAGGGAAAGAAUCCAAAUGUCAAAUGUAACUAUGAGCAGUUACUCAAUCCAUCCAAACAAAAGCAAUCAAGCCACAUCCUUCUCUUUCCUCCCUGGAGACUCACACACAUCUAAUAAUAACCCACCACGGGCACUUUGAGGAAAGGGAAGUGAGGAGGAGCUGUGAGUUUUGACCCCAUUCUAAAAAACAAAUUGUCUCCAGGCAUUUUGGUGAAAGUGCAUCAGCUGGUGACACCCCAGUGUAAAAGUUUAUGUGAAUAAUCUGAAUUACACCCAGAGAUCAGGUGGAGUACACAGUGCCACUUGCAACGUGUAUGAGCAAUUCGGGAGGCUCUAACAACCCUGCUCUCCAACCUCUGAAGUGUUCCUGCUGUUCUGCAGGAGCAUCUCCUGCAUGAUUUCACAUCAAGUUGUGUUGGAAAAGCCAUGACAAAGUGGGAUGAGUUUUUCUCCCGAUGAGACAGUCCGUUCAUGAUUCAUGGGCACUGGGUCUCUGCUGUCCAUGUUCUCCCCAGGAGCAAGGGAUGGUAACAGCACCCAUUGAAUUCUCCUGCACGGUAAAUGUGUUUUGGCAGGAUGUAUUUAGGUGACAGUUUUGGGGAACACACUUGCUUUUCUGCUGACAACCUUGCACCAAAGGCACUGGCAAGAUUAGUUGGUGUGUAGUAGCCACAGAGGGAGGAGCCAUGCACUGUCUGGGGACUCAGUCUGGCAAACUUUGUGGAGGUGAUUAACUCCCAUGAGCUGACCAGGGCUGCUCUUAUGGGUGAAGUUAAAUAUGUGCCUGCUUGCAGGGUGAGGGGCUUUAUGUAUUUAUCCUGUGUCCUUGAAAAUCUAUUUUUCAUGUGUAAGCACUUGGUUAAUGUGGCUUAUUCCUCUGCUUGCUUCCCCGAAUGGGAAUUCAUUAUGAAUCUACCUGAAAUGGUCUUCUGCAGUUGUGUUGCUUUCAGUUUGUAAGAAAGUUGUUCCUGCCUGUACAGCCAGGAACAACUUUUGUUCAUUUUCCUUUGUUGGAGGCUGACAGCACACUGGCUGCACUUUCAUGUGAUCAUUCCUGGAAUUACUUCGUGCUUGGACAAAUGUGUAGGUGUUCUGUGCAGCUUCUCUAAAUAGUGAGUGAAAACAGUACUUCAAGAAUAAAGGAAUAUACCGCAA